rnacentral:lncRNA from 1 species
AUUGGGUUUUAAAACAUGCUUCAUUGUGGUCGAUAGCUGCCUUGGACUCCCAAGUAUUCCAAGGGUUUCAAGAGCCUCGGAUUUCCCUCAAUUAGUCAAUCAUUUUUUUUAGUUUCUACAUAAAAUUCUAUGUAAUUUUAGAUUUUAUUUUUACUAUUCCAAAAAGAUAAGGCUUGCUCAAUUUGGAGUUGAAUUCAAUUUUUAGUGAAAUUUUGAGUAUGACGGAGUCGACUGCCAUUGCCGUUUAAAUUAAUCAAGUUUGAAAAGGCAUUUCUCAGUGCAUUAUAACUGGAUUUAAUUGAAAUUUUGGGAGCAUUG